rnacentral:rRNA from 1 species
UACGUAGGGGACGAGCGUUGUCCGGAUUCAUUGGGCGUAAAGCGCGCGUAGGCGGCUCGGAAAGUCGGUCGUGAAAUGCCGGGGCUCAACCCCGGGACUGCGUCCGAUACUUCCGGGCUGGAGGUAGGUAGGGGAGAUCGGAAUUCCUGGUGUAGCGGUGAAAUGCGCAGAUAUCAGGAGGAACACCGGUGGCGAAGGCGGAUCUCUGGGCCUUACCUGACGCUGAGGCGCGAAAGCUAGGGGAGCGAACAGG